rnacentral:tRNA from 1 species
GGGGGUAUAGCUCAGUGGUAGAGUGCGUGCUUAGCGCGCACAGUGUCCUGGGUUCAGUCCCCAGUAUCUCCG